rnacentral:misc_RNA from 1 species
ACAAACUUGGUCAUUUAGAGGAAGUAAAAGUCGUAACAAGGUUUCCGUAGGUGAACCUGCGGAAGGAUCAUUAUUGAAACAUUGUAAAGAAAGGUUGAGCUGGCUCUUCACGGGCAUGUGCUCGCCUCUCUUUCAAUCUUCAUCCACCUGUGCACUUUUUGUAGAGAGACUGAGAAAGGGAGCCUGCUCCCAAGUAUCGGGCUUUCUAUGUUUUACACACUCUUAAAUGCAUGUUUUGAAUGUCUUUUAUAGGGACUUAAUUGACCCUUUAAAAACUAUACAACUUUCAACAACGGAUCUCUUGGCUCUCGCAUCGAUGAAGAACGCAGC